UGGGGAGCACCGCUUCGCCACGUGAUCGGCAGCGCGCCCGGAGUGAUCCGGCUGCGGGCCAGGGUCUGGGAAGGGGGUGGUGGGUCGCCGUUUCAUCAGAAGCCGGAGGACGGGCGCCAGGGGGCAACUUCCUACAGGAGGGCGUCCCGUUAGAAUGACAGGGCUUUUGCAAAAGUCUGACACCCGUGGCACAGAGCGCCCCAGAUAUGGAGGGUUUCACAGUUGACUCUUGAACAAUGUGGGGGCUUGGGGCACCAACCCCCUGUGCAGUUGAAAAUCGACAUAUAACUUUGACUCGCCAAAAACUUCACUACAAUAGCCUGCUGCCAACCUGAAGUCUUACCAAUAACAUCAACAGUCAAUUAAACAUAUUACUAGGCUGAAAAGGAGAAGGAAGUGAAGGGGUUGGUCUUGCCGUCUCACGAGUGGCAGAGGCAGGAGAAAAUCCAAAUGAGAAAACGAAUACAGCAGGGAUGACUUCCACCAGCUCCACUUUGCAGCUCUGAGGUGUAUUAAAAAUAAACCUAGAGCCCCACCAAAUGAAUCCGCUGGCACGUGGACCUCAGAUGGGGGAAACUGAGGACUGAAUUCUGACCACCCUCCUUUGUUCUAAAUUUCUUCCUGAAGGACCUGGAAGAAGUCAUGCCACGGGCCAGACCUUAACAUUCCUUUCGGCUUACCCCAGGAUUUCAGACAAAGCUUCACUUUCCUAACCAGUCACAAAUCAGAGAAUUUUUGAUUCCACCUAUGACCUGUGAGCUCCUGCUUCAAGAUAUUCCACCUUUUUUAGGCCAAACCAAUGUAUAACCUCCAAGUGUCGAUUUACACUUUCGACUGUAACUUCUGCUUUCCUGAGAUUUACCCCUGCCUUUAAAAACCCUUGCUUGUAAUCCCUCAGGGAGGCCGUGUAUUUAUUAAUCAUGAGCUGCCCAAUUCUCCUUGCUUGGUGCCCUGCAAAUAAACACCCUCUUUUCUCCCA
rnacentral:lncRNA from 1 species